rnacentral:rRNA from 1 species
UACAGAGGGUGCGAGCGUUGUUCGGAAUUAUUGGGCGUAAAGGGCGCGUAGGCGGUGCGGUAAGUCACCUGUGAAAUCUCCUGGCUCAACUGGGAGCUUGCAGGCGAAACUGCCGUGCUGGAGUGUGGGAGAGAUGCGUGGAAUUCCCGGUGUAGCGGUGAAAUGCGUAGAUAUCGCUUGGAACGCCAAAGGUGAAAACAGACAGCUGGGAGUGUGCUGACGCUGAGACACGAAAGCCAGGGGAGCGAACGGG